GACGAACGCUGGCGGCGUGCUUAACACAUGCAAGUCGAACGGUGAAGCGCCUUCCUUUUUGGUGGGUGUGGAUGAGUGGCGAACGGGUGAGUAACACGUGAGUAACCUGCCCCCUUCUUCUGGAUAACCGCAUGAAAGUGUGGCUAAUACGGGAUAUUCUGUGUCUGUCGCAUGAUGGGUCUGGGAAAGAUAUUGUUUCGGUGGGGGAUGGGCUCGCGGCCUAUCAGCUUGUUGGUGGGGUGAUGGCCUACCAAGGCGGUGACGGGUAGCCGGCCUGAGAGGGUGGACGGUCACACUGGGACUGAGACACGGCCCAGACUCCUACGGGAGGCAGCAGUGGGGAAUAUUGCACAAUGGGCGCAAGCCUGAUGCAGCGACGCCGCGUGAGGGAUGGAGGCCGUCGGGUUGUGAACCUCUUUCGCCAGUGAAGCAGGCCUGCCUCGUUUGUGGGUGGGUUGACGGUAGCUGGAUAAGAAGCGCCGGCUAACUACGUG
rnacentral:rRNA from 1 species